GGAGGAAAGCAGGGGAUCGCAAGACCUUGCGCUUUUGGAGUGGCCGAUGCCUGAUUAGCUAGUUGGUAGGGUAAUGGCUUACCAAGGCGACGAUCAGUAGUUGGUCUGAGAGGACGACCAGCCACACUGGGACUGAGACACGGCCCAGACUCCUACGGGAGGCAGCAGUGGGGAAUUUUGGACAAUGGGCGAAAGCCUGAUCCAGCAAUGCCGCGUGAGUGAAGAAGGCCUUCGGGUUGUAAAGCUCUUUCAGUCGAGAAGAAAAGGUCGUGACUAAUAAUCACAACUCAUGACGGUAUCGACAGAAGAAGCACCGGCUAACUACGUGCCAGCAGCCGCGGUAAUACGUAGGGUGCGAGCGUUAAUCGGAAUUACUGGGCGUAAAGGGUGCGCAGGCGGCUUUGUAAGUCAGAUGUGAAAUCCCCGGGCUUAACCUGGGAAUUGCGUUUGAAAUUACAAGGCUAGA
rnacentral:rRNA from 1 species